GCCCCCUAUCCUGGUCGAAGGGGAGUCGUGCAGGUCCAGUUCAGGUCAAGUUUCACCAACUACACACGCGAAGCCAUCCUCAGAGGUCAAAGUAGCUGGCCAUAAGUUGUGGUCGCAUUACCAUCGCGGCUGCUUGGCCUCACCUCACCAAUGGCCUCAUGCCAGCGGUAAAAAAACUGGCAAUGGAAAACAGUUAAAACUUACCACAAAACUACCACAG